rnacentral:tRNA from 1 species
GCCGCAGUGGUGGAAUCUGGUAGACACGCUAUCUUGAGGGGGUAGUGCCCUACCGGGCGUGUGGGUUCAAAUCCCACCUGCGGCA